UCCACCGUGAGGUGGAAUCUGAAGAAAGCCGUAAAUGCUGACCUGAUGAAUAGGAGGCGCAUAUGAGGCAGAGAUCCUGGACAAGGAUGCGUAUGAAUCCGAAGUCCAAUACUUACUCAAAAGGAUUGAUGUAGAUGCGACAGGUUAGUAGGAAAGUUUAAAGA
rfam:Chlamydiae bacterium RIFCSPHIGHO2_01_FTLL_44_39 rifcsphigho2_01_scaffold_2049, whole genome shotgun sequence.